rnacentral:rRNA from 1 species
GGCGGCGUGGAUAAGACAUGCAAGUCGAACGAGAACUUCAGCUGUAGCAAUACAGUUGAAGUUUUAGUGGCGAACGGGUGCGUAACACGUGGACAAUCUGCCUUAAAGUGGGGGAUAGCUCGGCGAAAGCCGAAUUAAUACCGCAUGUGAUCAGGGGAGACAUCUUCCCAACAUCAAAGCCGGGGCAACCUGGCGCUUUUAGAGGAGUCCGCGGCCUAUCAGCUAGUUGGUGAGGUAACGGCUCACCAAGGCUUUGACGGGUAGCUGGUCUGAGAGGACGACCAGUCACACUGGAACUGAGACACGGUCCAGACACCUACGGGUGGCAGCAGUCGAGAAUUUUUCUCAAUGGGGGAAACCCUGAAGGAGCGACGCCGCGUGGAGGAUGAAGGUCUUCGGGUUGUAAACUCCUGUCAUUUGGGAACAAGUCGUACGUAGUAACUAUACGUACGUUGAUAGUACCAGAAGAGGAAGAGACGGCUAACUCUGUGCCAGCAGCCGCGGUAAUACAGAGGUCUCAAGCGUUGUUCGGAUUCAUUGGGCGUAAAGGGUGCGU